UAUUUUCUUUAACACUUUAUUAUAAAAAUCAUUACUAUGAAAAGAAUGUUAAAUGUAGCUUAAAGUGGAACAUCCAUAUACCCACUACCUAGAUUCUACAGUAAGCAGUAAAUUACACCUGCUUUGCCGAAUAUAUUUUCAUCUAUCCCCCAACUACUUUGAACUUAACAAAGUUUUUAAAAAAAAAAAAAAACUGGAACGUUCAUAGAUGGGGUAUUCUAAUUAGCCAAAGUACAGCCAGAAAACCUUGGUUGAAUGGCUUUCAUAAACAAUUCUGUUUUCUUAUUCUUGAAAUUCGGGAUCUGGUCUUAGUCAUCACAUGAUUAUAAGAACUUAAGAAAUAGACAAGGAUAGAGGCCGGGCGUGGUGGCUCACGCCUGUAAUCCCAGCA